CUUUUGCUGGCGACCGGCGCACGGGUGAGUAACACGUAUCCAACCUGCCCUUUACUCGGGGAUAGCCUUUCGAAAGAAAGAUUAAUACCCGAUAGCAUAAUGAUUCCGCAUGGUUUCAUUAUUAAAGGAUUCCGGUAAAGGAUGGGGAUGCGUUCCAUUAGGUUGUUGGUGAGGUAACGGCUCACCAAGCCUUCGAUGGAUAGGGGUUCUGAGAGGAAGGUCCCCCACAUUGGAACUGAGACACGGACCAA
rnacentral:rRNA from 1 species